rfam:Dipodomys ordii contig_24752, whole genome shotgun sequence.
GGUGGCUCAGUGGUAGAGUGCUUGCCUCGCAUGCAUAAGGCCCUGGGUUCAAUUCCUCAGCACCA